GUGCCAACCGCCGCGGUAAUACCGGCAGCUCGAGUGAUGGCCGAUCUUAUUGGGCCUAAAGCGUCCGUAGCUGGCCUCGCAAGUCCGUCGGGAAAUCCAGUAGCCCAACUACUGGGCGUCCGGCGGAAACUACAAGGCUUGGGACCGGAAGGCUCGGAGGGUACGUCCGGGGUAGGAGUGAAAUCCCGUAAUCCCGAACGGACCACCGAUGGCGAAAGCACUCUGAGAAGACGGCUUCGACAGUGAGGGACGAAAGCUAGGGUCUCAAACCGGAUUAGAAACCCGUGUAGUCC
rnacentral:rRNA from 1 species